AGGAAGAGAAGAAAGUUUGCUUCCACCCAGGAGGAUAACUUUGAAAAGUAAUAGAAAGCACUUGUGUUCCUCCAUCCUCAGAGAGCAAGGGGCUGCGCAGUCCUGACAAGAAUGAAUGUGGAAGAGAAAAUGUAGCAAUCUGCAGGGCUUUGGACUGAGUGCUAGCCAGGGUCAGGUGAAUGAAAAAAGCCACUGGAAUUCUGGGCUAAAGUCAAUGCUUUUCUUCCCUGGCAUCCCCAUCCAGGAGGAGAUGAGCCUUUCAGGGAGUGACCCUGCUCUGCUGUGA
rnacentral:lncRNA from 1 species